rnacentral:rRNA from 1 species
UACGUAGGGGGCAAGCGUUGUCCGGAGUUACUGGCGUAAAGCGCACGCAGGCGGUCUCUUAAGUUUGGAGUGACAGUUGGUGGCUUAACUGCCAAAGUGCUUCGAAAACUGAGAGACUUGAGGGCUUCAGAGGGACACGGAAUUCCGGGUGGAGUGGUGAAAUGCGUAGAGAUCCGGAGGAACACCAAAGGCGAAGGCAGUGUCCUGGGGAGUACCUGACGCUCAGGUGCGAAAGCCAGGGGAGGCGAACGGG